GUGCCAGCGCCGCGGUAAUACCGGCAGCCCGAGUGAUGGCCGAUCUUAUUGGGCCUAAAGCGUCCGUAGCUGGCCGCGCAAGUCCAUCGGGAAAUCCACCUGCUCAACAGGUGGGCGCCCGGUGGAAACUGUGCGGCUUGGGACCGGAAGGCGCGACGGGUACGUCCGGGGUAGGAGUGAAAUCCCGUAAUCCUGGACGGACCGCCGAUGGCGAAAGCACGUCGCGAGAACGGAUCCGACAGUGAGGGACGAAAGCCAGGGUCUCGAACCGGAUUAGAAACCCCAGUAGUCC
rnacentral:rRNA from 1 species